GUGCCUGAAGCUACUAAAUGAAAGGGAACACAUUAAAACAGUGAAAAACACCUGGGUGGCUCAGUCAGUUGAGUCUCUGACUCUUGGUUUUGGCUUGGGUCAUGAUCUCCUGGUUCAUGAAACUGAGCCUUGCAUCAGGCUCUGUGUUGGCAGUAAGGAGCCUGCUUGGGAUUCUCUCUCUCUCUCUCUCUCUCUCUCUCUCUCUCUCUCUCUGCCACUCCUUCAAUCAUGCUGUCUCUGUCUCAAAAUAAAUAAGUAAACUUUAAGGAAAGGUAAUUAUAAAGUAUAUUUUGGACAUAAUUCCAUAUCAGUAUAUAAAUAGCUUUCUCAUCGAAUUCCAUUGUCUGGAUAUAUCAUGAUUUAUGUUAGACAUUUUCUAUUGACUUUUAGACUGUUUGUAAUCUUUUGGCAUUCCAGAAAUAAAUACUGUAAUAAAGAACCUUAGUCAUACAUAAUUUCACACAUAUGCAAGCAUAUUUUUAAGAUAAGUUGCUUGGUCAAAGUUUAUGUACAUUUAAGUUGUAUUACAUAUCUCCAAAUUACCCUCCAUAUAUGCUGUUGCACAUGGUAUCUCAGUAUCAUUUGACUUUGCAUUUCCUUUUUUACUUUGGUGUCGAAACUUUUUCUCGUACAUAUAAAUGUCAUUUGUAUUUGCUUUUCUAUGAAGUGUAUAAUUAUAUAUAAUAUAUAAUAUAUAUUACAUACAUAAUUAACUAUAAUUUUUCUCAUUGAGUUUCUACUCUUUCCUUGACUGUUUUAUAUGAGGUGCUUAUUGUGCUGAGAAUUCGUUCAAACAGGCCUGGGAUCAGCCUGACAGUGUCUCUAAAGUUUCUGCCUGGUACCGACCUCUGGACGAGGUAUGAGACAUACUGAUUAAUAGUGUCGCUUUGCAAUCAUCAGUCUGAGGAUGUUGGGGCCAGAUUAUACUAGCUUGUCGGCAUUCUUUACUGAUGCCAUAUGACCGAUGAUUUGCCCCUGGUUACAAGGAGGUCCUGAGCAGGGUCUGCUGUUGAAGCUGGUUACCUUACAGAAGUAUGCCUAUGCGGUCAGCAAAAUAUAAAAAUUCCCACGCAAGACUCUAUUUGGUGUGCCCUGGUACCAAAGUAUUCUGUGUAUACAUUGGUGGUUCCUGACUGAAGAGAAGAACUGUGUUCCGAAAGGAUAGUCACAGAGGGAGGACAAGACACCUGUUCGUACCUGGCCUGUCCGGAUCCUUCAUUGUAAUACAUAUCCUUACUUUAAUGUGGUCGUUAAAUUGUACCCUUUUCUUAUGGUAAACUGUACAUUUGUCAGCCCUGGCAUUUUGGGCCGUGUGACUCUUCGGCAAAUCAAUCUCGUUUAACGGGUUCUGCUAGUGCACUUGUACUUUGGUAAACUGAUCUUUUCCCUGAUAUGAGCUGCAGUUACACUGUCCCAGUGUGUCUUUUGACUUUGCUUGUGGUAGUUUGCCCCAUGUACGUCAGAUGCUUUUUAAAAUUUUUGAUUUUGUUUAAAUCCGAGGUAGUUAACAUAUACGGUAACAACGGUGUCAGGAGUUGAAUCUGGCGAUUCAUCAUCUACCUUUGGUAGUCAGUGCCUAUCCCAACAAGUGCCCUCCUAAUGCCCAUCACCCAUUUAGCCCAUCCCCCCACCCACCACCCCCUCAGCAAUUCUCAGUUUGUCCCCUGUAUUUGAGGGUCUCUUGUGGUUUGUCUCCCUCUCUGUUUUUACCUUAUUGUUUCCUUCUAUUCCCCUACGUUCAUCUGUUUUGUUUCUUGAGUCAUUUUUGGAAAAAAUUUACACUUGAGAUUAUACUUUUAUAAGUAUAGUUCAUUUUUCCAUAUUUGGUAGCUGGAAUUUAUUUUGUUGGAAUUUGUAAGGUAUGACUUCAGCGUUUCACCCCCAGAUGGCUACAUUGUGUGUGGUCUCAUAUCCUUUACUGAAUGAAACCCUUCCCCAUUGUCUUGUUUUUUUUUUUAAGUUUAUUUAUUUUGAGAGAGAGAGAGAGUGCUGCAUGCAUAAGUGGGGGAGGGACUAAGAGAGAGAGAGAAAGAGAGGAUCCCAAGCAGGCUCUGCACCAUCAGUACGGAGUUCCUUGUGGGUCCCUGAACUCACAAACCAUGAAAUAAUGAUCUUAGCCGAAGUCAGAUGCUUAACCGAUUGAGCCUGCCACGUGCCUGUCCUCCCCAUCCUCUUUUACUUGCCAUCUGUAGCUGAAAGGAUAGAAUAAUAGGAAUAAUAUAUUUCUAUUAUUUUAGUAACAUUCAAUCCGCCUGCUUUUCGGCGGAAUGAACCACACAGCCUUCAUUAUUUUAUAUUUAUAAUUUUGUUUCAAUAUUCGGCAGAGCCUGCCUUUCUCCCAUUUUCACAUUACUUUUAUAUUAUUUUUUGUUGCCGUUCUUUCCUUCUAAGUCUGACUGGCUUUUUAGGUCAAUUCUUUUUUAAAAUCAUAUUAUAAAGUACUCAUCUAUUCCUAGUCUAUUAAAUAGUUUUCUUCACAUGGAUAUUGCUUUUCUUUGUGCCGUUUCUUGAAUUUCUUGAAACACGUGGCUUAAUGUUUUUGAUCAGUUUGGGAAAACAUUCAUCCAAUAGGUCUUAAAAUAAUACUACUUUUAUCGAACUAUCUUUUCUACUUUGGGGUCUGUUAUUACGCAUAUGCUAAUCUUUCUCAAUAUGGUCUAGGAUGCUUACCCUCUUUUCUAUAUUUUGCUCAAGAGCUAGGGACUAGAUAUACAAUGGAUGGUUUAUGCCUUGUCCAUUGGUGGUUCAAGUAACCUAGGCUGCUAGUGGCUUGGAUUAUGUUCCUUCUUAGCAAAAGGCUAGAUAUAACCAGAGUGGGGAGUAGGACAGUGAUGUUACUUAUUUUAUUCUAUCAAUAAUCUGGCACGUUUAGAGAUUGAGAAUAAUAUUUUUUUUAGGAAUUUGAAGUAUUAUUCCAGAAGUUUAAAUUUCGAUGAACUCUUUUUAGAUUAACCAUAUUCUUGAGGUUAUUGCUGCUGUGUUUAUUACCAUCUGAAAAGGUUGUACUGUAUAAAACUGUAAUAAAACUGGAGAAAGGGAAAUGAAACUUCUCUUUUGUUCCCCCCCAAAUGGGAAGCAAAAUACAGUGUUGGGCUUGUAAUCAAUUUGCGACAAGUGAGGAAUAAAGAUUAAACACUAUAUUUAUUUGGGGGAAUAUAAGACAAAUGUUUUUAAAGCCCCCCAAAUAAAAGUAUCUUGUAAUUAUACAAUGUUGUAUGAUAUACUUAAUGGAUGAAUUAAGAAAAUGAAAAAGAAGAGUAAAAACAAAUGAAAAAAUUUGAUGUUUUAGAAAAUAUUUUGCACUACAGAGCUUUCAAAAUAGAAAUUAGCAUAAAUCAUUUGGUAGAAAAAAAUAGAAAAUACAAAAUAGUAGGAAGAAAGCAAGAAACUGCUUCUCCUUACAUUUAAACCCGCCAUUCAAAUAGCAGUUGUUAGCAUUUAGUUUAUAUCUACUAAAACUUUUUUCCACAUAUGCAUGUAAAACCCCAUCUAUUUUACAUAUAAUUUUUAUAAAACUGUAUUUUUCCAUAAGUGACUUUUAAAUCUGCUUAUUUCAUGGGAACUAUUGUGUAACCAUAUCUCCAUGUUAAUAGCAACAGUUCUAGAAGACCUCUUUAAAUUACUACAGUGUAUCCUUUUAUAUCAACCUACAUGAUUAAUUUUACCAGUCAUUUUACUGUCAGAUAUAUAUGGAUGCAUUUUUAAUGGUAUACAAGAAAAAUUUGUAAUUAACCCAUGCAUUACUUUCAUUUUUAAACAGGAUAUAGAUUUCAUUCAUUACUCUUUGUCAGAAACAUGUCCCUGUUUCUAAUAUGUAUAUUAAAUUAUAUAUUAUAUAAUAAUUUAAAUAUUAAUAUUGGCCUUUUUCUUACAGUGAAAAUUUUCAUGGAGAGAAUAUUUAACAUUCUUUAUUAAGUGGAACAUGAUUAAGAUGAGAUAAUUAUUAGACAUUAAACAUGAUUUUUACAACUCAAAAUAUACUGGCUAUAAAAUAAUCUAUAACUAGAAGGACAGCAAUAAGUUAAGAAAGUCUGAGGUCAACAAACCACUUCUUGUUUAGCACAACUCUUGUUUCUGUAACUGGCUUUUACUUAAUAAAAGCCCUAAGAAUGUUUUGAGAGUGUAAAAGAUGAUCUUGGCCAAUGGCAAUAUUGGUAGCAAAAAAAUAAAAGCCACUAUAUGUGAAGAAAAGCCACUAGUAAAAAUAUUUUACAUUUGUAUAGUGAUAUUUAUAAGUUUUAAAAGUAGGUAUUUGUAGCUAUUAAUGCAAAAAAAGCCAAAACUUGUAGUUGUAAGCAUUUUGCAGAAAUUACUGAAAGUUUUAAAUACUUUAUUUUCUAGCUAGCUUUCCUUUAUCCUCAUGGGAGUAUUUUCUUCCCAUAUUUUUUGUUUUGGGAGUUUAAAAAAAAAAUUGUUUCAUACAGACUACAUCCAUGGGAUUACGGCAUUAAAAAAACAACAAGCAGCAAUCACUGAUGUUGUCACCGUCUAUCUUACUUUCCUGACCCCAUUUUUAGUUACUUUUGUAUCCUUCCAGUGUCACUCUGUGCAUGAAUGCUUGUACUGUCGUCAGAAUGGAGCUAGACAAUAUUCCAUUCAAAGUGCCCAGGUUUUACAGAAGAAACUGAAAUAUUAGAGGUUAAUUUACUUAUCUGUUAGUUCUCUUUCAACUCCUCAAUCUAUUUCCAGUGUGUCUGUUUGAGAAAUAUACAUUUAAGUGUGAGUUUCCUAAAAAAAAAUAGACUUGCGUUUGAUUUAAAUAACGUUUUUAUAUGAUACCCAGAGAGUAGACGGUGAGAUAAGGAACUCUUUCGCAGUGCUAACAUUUGUUGUGAAAUUUCUUUUGAGGUGAUAGACAAGGCAACAAUUACUUAUUGAACUUCUAGUAAUUCUUAAAACAAUUUUCUAAGAACAAUCAGGAAAAUAAGUUCAUGGCUAACAUGAACAAGAUCAAGUUUCUUGUACUUUGUGGAAGCAAAUCUGAACCUGUCUCUUCUUCAUUCUAGAACUCAUAAUUCUCACCAGCUAAUGUCUGCUAGAUAGAGAAAUGUUUUUCCAGAGCAUAUGAAAAGGAGGAAUUAUCUGGACAAUAAACUUUAUCUCUGUCUUUCUAUAUAUACUUCCUAGUGCUAGCAUGAGUGAUAAUCCAAGUUGUUGGUUGUUUUUUUGUUUGUUUUUUGUAAUCUGCAGCUCUUUAAUUAUUAUAUUUUAUAAAAAUUUCACUAGCCAGAUACGAAAACAUGUCUUAAAAUUUGGACUAAAGAAAUGUGAUUAAUUAUGGCCCAAAUAAAGUGUUCAGAUUGCAUUAAGCUUACUAUCUUGUACUUUGCCUCAUGUAAAGUGAAAAGCUCUUACUAACAUAAUCUGCAUAAAGUUAAAUUUAGAAUACAUGCAUAUUUAGAAAAGAAAGAGCAUUAUACUGAGAUCUUUCAAAUUGCAUCCUUUGGCAUACUAAUAAAAGUCACAAAUUGAAUCAUAA